rnacentral:other from 1 species
CCGUGUCUGCGGUGCGUGCCGGGCUUUAUAUUUCCUUGAACCAAUGCUCUUUGAGCUCGGGCUUGGAACAAACCUGGCGAGCGUGAUCGUCUCGCGUCAGAUGAACCCAACGCCUGGUUGACCUCGCCCACCUGAACCCCUGGUUCAGGAUGCCGGUCCGGUGGCAUCUGCAGACGCCUU